UCCUAUGGCUGUACAAAGAAAGUGGUUUCUUGAGAUGGAAGCUACUCCUGGUGAAGAUUCUGUGAA
rnacentral:pre_miRNA from 1 species